rnacentral:rRNA from 1 species
UACGUAGGGUGCGAGCGUUGUCCGGAAUUAUUGGGCGUAAAGGGCUCGUAGGCGGUUUGUCGCGUCGGGAGUGAAAACUCAGGGCUUAACCCUGAGCCUGCUUCCGAUACGGGCAGACUAGAGGUAUGCAGGGGAGAACGGAAUUCCUGGUGUAGCGGUGAAAUGCGCAGAUAUCAGGAGGAACACCGAUGGCGAAGGCAGGUCACUGGGCCGCAACUGACGCUGAGGAGCGAAAGCAUGGGGAGCGAACAGG